UGUCUCAGCUCGGAUUGGAGUCUGCAACUCGACUCCAUGAAGCUGGAUUCGCUAGUAAUCGCGCAUCAGCCAUGGCGCGGUGAAUACGUUCCCGGGCCUUGUACACACCGCCCGUCAAGCCAUGGGAGCCGGGGGUGCCUGAAGUACGUGACCGCGAGGAGCGUCCUAGGGCAAAACUGGUGACUGGGGCUAAGUCGUAACAAGGUAGC
rnacentral:rRNA from 1 species